rfam:Trichinella zimbabwensis scaffold51s, whole genome shotgun sequence.
CCAACGGCCCUUUUCAGGGCCAAUAUAUUUUCUUUAUUGAAACAAC